rnacentral:lncRNA from 1 species
UUUUUGUCUUUUUGCCUUUUCUAGGGCUGCUCCCGAGGCACAUGGAGGUUCCCAGCCUAGGGGUCUAAUCGGAGCUGUAGCUGCCAGCCUACACCAAAGCCACAGCAACACAGGAUCUGAGCCACGUCUGUGACCUACACCACAGCUCAUAGCAACGCUGGAUCCUUUACCCACUGAGCAAAGCCAGGGAUCGAACCUGCAACCUCAUGGUUCCUAGUUGGAUUCAUUAACCACUGAGCCACAAUGGGAACUCCCACAAAAUAACAAGAUUUAUGCAGUGAAAAUUAUAAGGAAAUUAAAGGAAGGGUAGUAUUUUGCAUGGAUUGGAACACUCGGUCUUAUUAAGAUGCCUCAAAAUUAAUAUUUAAAUUCAAUAAAAUCUAAUCAAAAUCCAGCAGGCUGCAGAAAUUGACAAAUUGAUACUAAAUUCUGCAUUUAGAAAGAAAAGAACCAAGAGUAAUAAAAAAAAAAAAAUUGGAUGUGGAGAAACCGGAACCCUCACACAUUGGUGGUGGAAUGGAAAAUGCACAGCAAUUUGGGGAGAGUUGGAUGGUUGAAAACAAACACUUAAAAAUGUGAUCCAGCAAUGCCAUUCCUAGGGACCCACUUGAGAAAUGAAAAUAAAUGUCUGAUAUCUGUAAGCAAAUGAUUACAACAACUUUUUUCGCAAUAGCUAAUAAUUGGAAAUAAUGCAAAGUCCAUCAACGGGUCAAUGGAUAAACUGUGAUACAUCCAUACAGAAUACUAUACAGUGUUUGUUUGUUGUUGUUGUUGUUUUGUCUUGUGUUUUUUACUCCACUACUGGUACAAAAUACAAAAUAAUGGAACUGGGGACAUUACGGAAAGAAGCCAGACCCCAAAGGCUAUAUACUGUUUGAAUCUGAUAGAUAACAUUCUGAAAAAGGCAAAGCUAUAGGGCUAGAAAUUGGAUAUGGUUGCCAGGAUACGGAUGGAGGGAGGGAUAAUUACAAGGGGGCAAGUCAGAGCUUUGUGGAAUGACAGAACUGUUUCACAUCUGUUGGGAUGGUAGUGAUGAGACUGUAUAC